rfam:Piscirickettsia sp. Y2 scaffold00001, whole genome shotgun sequence.
AGUCACGUAGCUCAGUUGGUUAGAGCACCACCUUGACAUGGUGGGGGUCGUUGGUUCGAAUCCAAUCGUGACUA